AGAGUUUGAUCCUGGCUCAGAUUGAACGCUGGCGGCAGGCCUAACACAUGCAAGUCGAGCGGAUGAGUGGAGCUUGCUCCAUGAUUCAGCGGCGGACGGGUGAGUAAUGCCUAGGAAUCUGCCUGGUAGUGGGGGACAACGUUUCGAAAGGAACGCUAAUACCGCAUACGUCCUACGGGAGAAAGCAGGGGACCUUCGGGCCUUGCGCUAUCAGAUGAGCCUAGGUCGGAUUAGCUAGUUGGUGAGGUAAAGGCUCACCAAGGCGACGAUCCGUAACUGGUCUGAGAGGAUGAUCAGUCACACUGGAACUGAGACACGGUCCAGACUCCUACGGGAGGCAGCAGUGGGGAAUAUUGGACAAUGGGCGAAAGCCUGAUCCAGCCAUGCCG
rnacentral:rRNA from 1 species